rnacentral:lncRNA from 1 species
CUGAGGGACUCUUCUAAACUGAAACCACAUGAAUGAUACCCUUUUCAACACAGACCAGAAGAACGGUGCUAGGAGUGAGAAGGUGAGCAGGGUACACUGGAUGAUAGUGAGAAAUCUGUUUGCCUCACAACAUAGUGAAUUUUUAUGAAGGAUGCCACAUUAUAUAAAGCUAAUUAUCAUCGAAUAAUAAUAAAAGUCAUAUGUAUCUUUAUUUUUCCUACUUGGAAACCUAGAUAAUUUGGGGUUUUAAUACAUUUUUUUUCCUUCACUAUCUCUGAAAAGAGUCAGCAGACAAAUCAUUGUUGAGAAACCUGGUUGUGUUCAUGCAAGUUACAAAGCACAGGGAACCCAUGCAACAAGCAAAACCACUCACAUCAAACAAGGAGAAACCCACUUCCUCAUACUUCGUGAAUGUUACAGGAAUACACAGAUGAUUUUACUGUUCAGACAUUUACACAUAACACAACAGAAAAAUCCUUCAGUUGACUAGUUUCCAUAAACUUGGUAGCAUUACGGCAAAACAAGAGAGUCAUCUGUGAAACACACAAAUGUUUUGUACUGAGGGAUAUUUUCACAUAACUCAGGAGAUAAGGAACUUAAAUUUAGACCCCCUCAAUCUCAUCAUCAUACUGAUUAUACCGUAAGCAGUUAUUAGGGUGCAGAGGUUGCGUGUUUUGAAGAUAUGGAUGUGGCAAUUCUAAUGUAUCUUCACAUUGUUCCUGAAAAGCUAAGGUUUUGUUAUUGAACUACUAUUAAAAGUUGAAUGUGAUCCUCUUUCAAUGUCUGGCAUUGCCUUCCUGUGGAAUUAACAUUCUGUGUGAUUUAGAGUACAUGUCCUGACUUUCUCAGUGCUCAUAAAUACCUUAUCUGUAGGAAACUUACUUUAAGGGAAAAGCAGCUUUAGCCCGUCUCCAGUAUAUGGCCAUGACUUGCUUACAUUGUAAUCCAUUAUGAAGGAAAAAGAGCCAUCCUCACAAAUCUAGAAGAUUAAAAGUUCAAGCACAAGCACAACUUGAAUCAGUGCUUCUGUAGCUUGUUUCAGCAAAGGGACCAUAGCCAGUACUGUGGCUGCAACAUAUGCCUUGCCAUCAGAUACAAUAGUUAGGCUUCCUAUCCACAUCCUAUGCAGUAAAAAAGCUUUAAAUCUGAAUGGAACAUCUGCAGAAUUAGCUUACAGACAACUCAGAAGCAGGAACACUUUGGUCCGUGUUCAAAUAAAAUGAAG